rnacentral:rRNA from 1 species
CGGACGGGUGAGUAAUGUCUGGGAAACUGCCUGAUGGAGGGGGAUAACUACUGGAAACGGUAGCUAAUACCGCAUAACGUCGCAAGACCAAAGAGGGGGACCUUCGGGCCUCUUGCCAUCGGAUGUGCCCAGAUGGGAUUAGCUAGUAGGUGGGGUAACGGCUCACCUAGGCGACGAUCCCUAGCUGGUCUGAGAGGAUGACCAGCCACACUGGAACCGAGACACGGUCCAG